rnacentral:rRNA from 1 species
GUGGGGAAUCUUAGACAAUGGGGGAAACCCUGAUCUAGCCAUGCCGCGUGAGCGAUGAAGGCCUUAGGGUUGUAAAGCUCUUUCAGCUGGGAAGAUAAUGACGGUACCAGCAGAAGAAGCCCCGGCUAACUCCGUGCCAGCAGCCGCGGUAAUACGGAGGGGGCUAGCGUUGUUCGGAAUUACUGGGCGUAAAGCGCGCGUAGGCGGACCAGAAAGUUGGAGGUGAAAUCCCAGGGCUCAACCUUGGAACUGCCUUCAAAACUCCUGGUCUGGAGUUCGAGAGAGGUGAGUGGAAUUCCGAGUGUAGAGGUGAAAUUCGUAGAUAUUAGGAGGAACACCAGUGGCGAAGGCGGCUUGCUGGACAAAUACUGACGCUGAGGUGCGAAAGCGUGGGGAGCAAACAGGAUUAGAUACCCGUGUAGUCC